rnacentral:rRNA from 1 species
GAAGCGUAUGCGUGGUAGAGGAGCGUUCCGUAAGCCUGUGAAGGUGUGUCGUGAGGCAUGCUGGAGGUAUCGGAAGUGCGAAUGCUGACAUGAGUAACGAUAAUGCGGGUGAAAAACCCGCACGCCGAAAACCCAAGGGUUCCUGCGCAACGUUAAUCGGCGCAGGGUGAGUCGGCCCCUAAGGCGAGACCGAAAGGUGUAGUCGAUGGGAAGCAGGUUAAUAUUCCUGCACCGCGUAUUACUGCGAUGGGGGGACGAAGUAGGCUAGGCCAGCCGGGUGUUGGUUAUCCCGGUUUAAGCGUGUAGGGAGUGCUCUUAGGCAAAUCCGGGAGCACAAUCCUGAGGCGUGAUGACGAGUCCUCUUUUGGACGAAGUGGUUGAUGCCCUGCUUCCAGGAA